rnacentral:rRNA from 1 species
GAUGAACGCUGGCGGCGUGCCUAAUACAUGCAAGUCGAGCGAACGGACGAGAAGCUUGCUUCUCUGAUGUUAGCGGCGGACGGGUGAGUAACACGUGGAUAACCUACCUAUAAGACUGGGAUAACUUCGGGAAACCGGAGCUAAUACCGGAUAAUAUUUUGAACCGCAUGGUUCAAAAGUGAAAGACGGUCUUGCUGUCACUUAUAGAUGGAUCCGCGCUGCAUUAGCUAGUUGGUAAGGUAACGGCUUACCAAGGCAACGAUGCAUAGCCGACCUGAGAGGGUGAGCGGGCACACUGAAACUGAGACCCGCUCCAGACUCCUACGGGAGGCAGCAGUGGGGAAUGUUCGACAAUGGGCGAAAGCCUGAAGGAGCAACGCCGCGGGAGUGAUGAAGGUCUUAGGAUCGUAAACCUCUGUUAUUGGGAAAGAACAAAUGUGUAAGUACCUGUGCAGAUCUUGACGGUACCUAAUCAGAAGGCCACGGCUAACUACGUG